AUAAUAUUGAUGUUCAGGUAAGCUCACUAUUUUAUUAAUUUCAGUAGUCCUACUUACAACAUGAAGUUGCUACAAGACUGAUUUGAGGUUCCAGAGCCAUGCUGUCCUUGCUUUCCACAAAGCUGCUGAAGCCUACUUGGUUGGUUUGUUUGAGGACAUUAACUUGUGUGCCAUCCAUGCCAAGAAGUCACCAUAAUGCCCAAAGACAUUCAGCUUGCUCGCUGCAUCCGUGCUGAACGUGCUUAGGCUGAUUGAUUUCAUGCUCCUUGAUCGUUUCGGAAUACACCUUGUGUUACUAGUUUAGUAUUGUUCAAGUUUCCUAUGCCAUUGUAUGGUUCUUGACAACCUUUUAGGUUUCAAUUGAUGUCUCUAGAAUGAUUAUUUUGGUUAUGGUACAGUAGAUCAUAGAAAGAUACUACUAAUGGAAUGAUUUGAUUAUUGGUGUAAGACAGUUUAUUUUGGAUUUA